rnacentral:tRNA from 1 species
CGGGGUGUAGCUCAGUCUGGUCCAGAGCGCCUGUUUCGGGAACAGGAGGUCGCUGGUUCGAAUCCAGUCACCCCGA